rnacentral:rRNA from 1 species
CCUACGGGUGGCUGCAGUAGGGAAUAUUGGUCAAUGGACGCAAGUCUGAACCAGCCAUGCCGCGUGCAGGAUGAAGGCCUUAUGGGUUGUAAACUGCUUUUGUACGGGAAGAAACCUUCGAUCGUGAUCGGAGCUGACGGUACCGUAAGAAUAAGGAUCGGCUAACUCCGUGCCAGCAGCCGCGGUAAUACGGAGGAUCCAAGCGUUAUCCGGCUUUACUGGGUUUAAGGCGUGCGUAGGAGGAUUAAUAGAAAUCCUACAGCGUAACUGUAGAACUGCCAUUGAUACUGUUAGUCUUGAGUAUUGUUGAGGUGGGCGGAAUUUGUCAUGUAGCGGUGAAAUGCUUAGAUAUGACAAAGAACACCAAUCGCGAAGGCAGUUCACCAAACAAUAACUGACGCUGAGGCACGAAAGCGUGGGGAUCAAACAGGAUUAGAUACCCCGGUAGUC